GCCAGCAGCCAUAUCAGCCUGCAACUCACAACUGGCAGCCCACUGGCAGCCCACUGAAGCUAAGCAGGUGUGAGCCUGGUCAGUAGGGAGACCUCCUGGUAAAAACUAAGGUUGCCGCUGGAA
rnacentral:rRNA from 1 species